GAUGAACGCUGGCGGCGUGCCUAAUACAUGCAAGUCGAGCGAACAGACGAGGCGCUUGCUCCUCUGACGUUAGCGGCGGACGGGUGAGUAACACGUGGAUCACCUACCUAUCAGACUGGGAUAACUUCGGGACACCGGAGCUAAUCCCGUAUAAUAUCUUGAACCGCAUGGUUCAUUAGUGAAAUACGGUUUUUCUGUCACUUAUAGAUGGAUCCGCGCCGCAUUAGCUAGUUGUUCAGGUAACGGCUUACCAAGGCAACGAUGCGUAGCCGACCUGAGAGGGGGAUAGGCCACACUGGAACGGAGCCACGGUCCAGACUACUACGGGAGGCAGCAGAAGGGAAUCGGCCGCAAUGGGCGAAAGCCUGACGGAGCAACGCCGCGGGAGUGAUGAAGGUCUUCGGAUCGUAAAACUCUGUUAUUAGGGAAGAACAAAUGUGUAAGUAACUAUGCAGGUCUUGACGGUACCGAAUCAGAAAGCCACGGCUAACUACGUG
rnacentral:rRNA from 1 species